rnacentral:lncRNA from 1 species
UUAAAUGAGAGCCAAGGGAUUCUACUUGGAUGAGGUUGAUUGUGGAUGAUAUUUUUAUGGAAAAUUUGACCAAGUGGAGCCCAUCUCUCAUUUCUCUCUUAUCCCCUCUCCCUACCUUCACUUGGCUGACCACCCUACUUUCUCCCCUUUCAAUUUUUUGCGAAACUAGCACAGCAAGGAGGAGAGCAGCCGCCGUCCAUGCCUAGCCGCCCGUUGCCACGCCGGUGCCGCCCUCGCCCCUGUGCGCGCGCCUGCCUCAUCGUGCACCGCCGUCCCUUUGGCCAUGUCUCUUGUCACGCCCCGAUCCUCGGGCACGCACACAUCCUUCUACCUUGGUCGAUUUUAAUAUGCGAUAUCCCAGGACAAUGUAUCGCCGACCCUUUCAUUUAUUAAGCACAUGCAGAAGCAGUUAAAAUCCCCAGACAAUAAAACGAUGGGAUAGAAAAGCAGGGCCAUAUUUUUCAUAUUGAAAUUUAUAACCAAACUUUUAUGCAAAACACAAACCACCUCAAAACUAUUCACAUCAAACGGAGAUCUCAAAAAAGACAGAAACUUAGACGAACUGGGCCGUACUCAAGGCCCCUCUCAGGAUUGCCUUCUUCCUCCAAAAAUCUUUCUCCUUAAGAUUCGCCUCUGAGUCCUCUUUCUCGGAUUCCUCCUCCUCAGCUCUUCAGCGGGAUCCUGAAAUGGUUUUCCCCAAACUGGGAUGAGACUACGUCUCAGCGAGUUCUACCCCACUAAGCCCGAUUAGAUAAACUAUUAUACUACAGGCUGCCUAAACACGCACAAGGCAGAGGACUUACCUUGGCCUCUGAUCCCACCUGCAAGUCAGUACAAUUCAUAAUAGGCACCCAAGCAAUCAUAUCACCAAUCGAAGCAUCGAUCAAAUCGACCUAGUCGAUUAUAUUCCAACGAGACCACUCACGGUCAUUUCCAUUCAGGCAAUCAAUUCACAACAUCAAAUCAAAGUAUCGACCUAGUCGAUUACAUGCCAAACAAAUCAAUCCCCACUGUGGGAUAUUUAAAAGCUAGGCCACGUGUAUUCUCCAGGAUGACCUUCCAAGUCUCCGAGUUCACGUGCCUCGAACCUUGGGCCCACGUGCAUUCUCUCAGGCGACCUUUUUGCCAAAGUGAUGCAUCAAGUCACCGAGACCACGUGCCAUUUUAGAUGCCCGGGCCCACGUGCAUUCUCUUAGGUGCAUCUCACCAAAGCGAUGCAUCAAUUCGCCGAGACCACGUGCCCUUUUAGAUGCCAUUCCGGAAUGCAAGACCCACGUGCAUUCUCUAAGGUGCAUCUCACCAAAGCGAUGCAUCAAUUCGCCGAGACCACGUGUCCUUUUAGAUGCCAAAUCCUGUCACGGAGCCACGUGCAUUCUCCAGGACGACAUACCGAGUCUCCGAGCCACGUGCAUUCUCUCAAGCGACCUUUUCGCCAAGGUGACAUAUUCAACCACUGAACUCACGUGCAUUUUCCCAGGUGACACUCCAAUUCACCGAGCCACGUGUCCUCUUUGCAGUGGUUACCAAUUCACUUUCAAUAUCGACAACCAAUGCCCAACGAUUUCUCAAUCAAAUAAUUAAAUCAACUCAACAAAACAUUAUAAAUGCUGAAUAAACAUACUUGGCCAUUCACCAAUCAAUACUCAAUCAAAUAAUUAAAUUAACUCAACAAAGCAUUAUAAAUGCUGAAUAAACAUACUUGGCCAUUCACCAAUCGAUAAUUCAUUCUCAGUCGAUUCCAAUCAAUUUAGGGUAAAUCCCUAAAAUAUCACAAUUUACUCAAUUCCAUACAACGUAGAGCUCAAAUAAAUAAACGGACUGCGCCACGACAAUCAGCACGAGAUUUCAGUCGUCGGCCAUCAAAAUCUUAAUUUCCGGAAAAUAAUUAAUUUAUUUAUUAAUUUUGAAAAUUAAAUAAUUAUUAUAAAAAAUUCAAUUUAGCUCAAAAUAAAGCCCGAUUACAUAAACAGACUUCACCAUAGUCAUCAGCACAAUAUUCCGGUUCCAGACCAUCUCAGUUGAAUUUUCGGAAAAUAAAUAAUUAUUUAAUUAAUUUCGAAUAUUAAAUAAUUAAUAUUAAAAAUCCCAUUUAGCUUAAAUUAAAGCCCGAUUACAUAAACGGACUUCACCACAGUCUUCAGCAUAAUAUUCCGGUUCCGAACCAUCUCCCUUGAAUUUUCGGAAUAUAAAUCAUUAUUUAAUUUAAUUCCGAAAAUUAAUAUUUAAAUACUAAAAAAAAUCCACUUAGGCCCGAAAAACCUAAUUGGAGCCCACUAAGGGUCGGGAAAAAUCCCGAGACACUUCCAAUAAUUAGUAGACCACGUCUACUUGUUAAUUGCACAAUCAAUUUAUCUAAAACACAUCACAAUUGACUAAUAAUUGCUAAUUUAUUUUAAUCUAACAACCUAAACAUAAUUAAUUAAAUCUAAACCAACCUUAAGCAUAAUUAGCCAACUAAUCCAAGAUUAGUGAGAUUACUCACCAAAUCGCACGCAAAUUGGAUCAAUCCGACGGCGGCGACGCGAGGAACGACAAACUCCAAAGCGGGCCUCGGGUUCGUGGCCCGGAAACGGCCCAAAACGGCCUUGAACAGUGCUGGAAACCCAUUUUUCCAGCUGCUGUUCAUGGCCAAACGAGGCUACUCCGGUGGCUGAGAAGGCGGAGCAAGGCCGGCGGAGGGCAAGGGGAACGCCGGGGAGGUCGGGCGGAGCUGGGCGGUGGCCGGAUGGUGGCUAGUCAGGGCGUAACCGAGCUGGGUCACGGCUGGAUCGCGCGGCCUGGGCGCGCACGGACGGGUGGCUGGACGGCGGCGAGCGGCGGACCCGGCGCGAGCGUGCGGGGCGGCGGCGGAACAGGCAGCGACGGGGAGCUGCGAUCGUGCGGCUCCUGCUCGAGCUUCCUCCUCUAGUUCGCUUCUUCGGAUGCGUGGGGAGGAAGAAGAAGAAAAAGAAAGAGAGAGAGAAGAGAGAGAGAAGAGAGGGAUAAGUCUUGACCAGUCAAAGAGGAAAAGAGAGAGAGAAUAGGCGGUGGGGGGAAAAAAUCGCACGGAUGGG